rnacentral:rRNA from 1 species
UAAGGAAUAUUGGUCAAUGGACGCAAGUCUGAACCAGCCAUGCCGCGUGAAGGAUGAAGGUCCUCUGGAUUGUAAACUUCUUUUAUCUGGGACGAAAACGGGAUUUUUAUCUCAAUUGACGGUACCAGAGGAAUAAGCACCGGCUAACUCCGUGCCAGCAGCCGCGGUAAUACGGAGGGUGCGAGCGUUAUCCGGAUUUACUGGGUUUAAAGGGUGCGUAGGUGGGCUUAUAAGUCAGUGGUGAAAUCUCCGAGCUUAACUUGGAAACUGCCGUUGAUACUGUAGGUCUUGAAUAUUGUGGAGGUAAGCGGAAUAUGUCAUGUAGCGGUGAAAUGCUUAGAUAUGACAUAGAACACCAAUUGCGAAGGCAGCUUACUACACAAUCAUUGACGCUGAGGCACGAAAGCGUGGGGAUCAAACA